CAGUAGUCACGUAGUUUGAUCCGUGGCUCAGGAUGAACGCUAGCGCAGGCCUAAUACAUGCAAGUCGAACGGUAAGGCCCGUUUCGGGGGUACACGAGUGGCGAACGGGUGAGUAAUGCAUCGGAACGUGCCCAGUAGGUGGGGGAUACGGCCCGGCGAAAGCCGGAUUAAUACCGCAUACGACCUACGGGUGAAAGCGGGGGACCGUAAGGCCUCGCGCUAUUGGAGCGGCCGAUGUCAGAUUAGGUAGUUGGUGGGGUAAAGGCCUACCAAGCCUUCGAUCUGUAGCUGGUCUGAGAGGACGACCAGCCACACUGGGACUGAGACACGGCCCAGACUCCUACGGGAGGCAGCAGUGGGGAAUUUUGGACAAUGGGCGCAAGCCUGAUCCAGCCAUGCCGCGUGCGGGAAGAAGGCCUUCGGGUUGUAAACCGCUUUUGUCAGGGAAGAAACGCUCCGGGCUAAUACCCUGGGGUAAUGACGGUACCUGAAGAAUAAGCACCGGCUAACUACGUG
rnacentral:rRNA from 1 species